rnacentral:ncRNA from 1 species
GCCGAGAGGGCGGAGAAUAAAAUACCCGAAAGGGGAAUAAUCCCGACCGACUUUUGGCGGUUUUCGAACCUCUUGGCACCAACUU